UACGUAGGGUGCGAGCGUUGUCCGGAAUUAUUGGGCGUAAAGAGCUCGUAGGCGGUCUGUCACGUCGGCUGUGAAAACCCGAGACUCAACCUCGGGCCUGCAGUCGAUACGGGCAAACUAGAGUACUGCAGGGGAGACUGGAAUUCCUGGUGUAGCGGUGAAAUGCGCAGAUAUCAGGAGGAACACCGGUGGCGAAGGCGGGUCUCUGGGCAGUAACUGACGCUGAGGAGCGAAAGCGUGGGGAGCGAACAGG
rnacentral:rRNA from 1 species